rnacentral:sRNA from 1 species
UCGAUAAACCAGGAAGGACGGGAACAAGGCAAGAGGUUUGGAGUAGAACAGUAUGAGAUGCGAACCUUCU